GAUGAACGCUAGCGGGAGGCCUAACACAUGCAAGCCGAGCGGUAGAGUCUCUUCGGAGACUUGAGAGCGGCGCACGGGUGCGGAACACGUGUGCAACCUGCCUUUAUCUGGGGGAUAGCCUUUCGAAAGGAAGAUUAAUACCCCAUAAUAUACUGGAUGGCAUCAUCUGGUAUUGAAAACUCCGGUGGAUAGAGAUGGGCACGCGCAAGAUUAGAUAGUUGGUGAGGUAACGGCUCACCAAGUCAGCGAUCUUUAGGGGGCCUGAGAGGGUGAUCCCCCACACGGGUACUGAGACACGGACCAGACUCCUACGGGAGGCAGCAGUGAGGAAUAUUGGACAAUGGGGGAGAGCCUGAUCCAGCCAUCCCGCGUGAAGGACGACGGCCCUAUGGGUUGUAAACUUCUUUUGUAUAGGGAUAAACCUAGAUACGUGUAUCUAGCUGAAGGUACUAUACGAAUAAGCACCGGCUAACUCCGUG
rnacentral:rRNA from 1 species